rnacentral:lncRNA from 1 species
CACGGUUGAAUCAGGACCUAACCCAAAAACCCAAGAAUCGAUCUCGAGAAUCCACCCAGAGACUCGAUCUUAACACCCAACUCGAAAAUCAACCCCGACACCCAACUUGGGACCUGACCCCAACGCUUGACCAGAGACCCGACCUCGACACUCAACCCUAGAUCUGACCCCGAUUCUCGAAUUGAGACCUAACCUUAGCACCCGACUCGAGACCCGACCCUUACUCCCGCCCCGAGAUCCUAUCUAGACUUCUAACUCGAGACUUGACCUCGACUUUCAACUAGAGACCCAUCCCCGACUCCCGAC